GGGAGCGUUACAUGCAAGUCGGAGGGGCAUCGGGAGGGAAGCUUGCUUUCCUUGCCGGCGACCGGCGCACGGGUGAGCAUCACGUAUGCAACCUGCCCUCUUCAGGGGGACAACCUUCCGAAAGGGAGGCUAAUCCCGCGUAUAUCGGUUUCGGGCAUCCGUUAUCGAGGAAAGAUUCAUCGGAAGAGGAUGGGCAUGCGGCGCAUUAGCUAGACGGCGGGGUAACGGCCCACCGUGGCGACGAUGCGUAGGGGUUCUGAGAGGAAGGUCCCCCACACUGGUACUGAGACACGGACCAGACUCCUACGGGAGGCAGCAGUGAGGAAUAUUGGUCAAUGGGAGAGAUCCUGAACCAGCCAAGCCGCGUGAGGGAAGACGGCCCUAUGGGUUGUAAACCUCUUUUGUCGGAGAACAAAACCCGGGACGAGUCCCGGACUGCGUGUAUCCGAAGAAAAAGCAUCGGCUAACUCCGUGCCAGCAGCCGCGGUAAUACGGAGGAUGCGAGCGUUAUCCGGAUUUAUUGGGUUUAAAGGGUGCGUAGGCGGUCCGUUAAGUCAGCGGUAAAAUUGCGGGGCUCAACCCCGUCGAGCCGUUGAAACUGGCAGACUUGAGUUGGCGAGAAGUACGCGGAAUGCGCGGUGUAGCGGUGAAAUGCAUAGAUAUCGCGCAGAACUCCGAUUGCGAAGGCAGCGUACCGGCGCCAGACUGACGCUGAGGCACGAAAGCGUGGGGAUCGAACAGGAUUAGAUACCCUGGUAGUCCACGCAGUAAACGAUGAAUGCUGGUUGUCCGGGUCGAAU
rnacentral:rRNA from 1 species